AGUGAACGCUGGCGGUAGGCCUAACACAUGCAAGUCGAACGGCAGCACAGUAAGAGCUUGCUCUUACGGGUGGCGAGUGGCGGACGGGUGAGGAAUACAUCGGAAUCUACUUUUUCGUGGGGGAUAACGUAGGGAAACUUACGCUAAUACCGCAUACGACCUACGGGUGAAAGCAGGGGAUCUUCGGACCUUGCGCGAUUGAAUGAGCCGAUGUCGGAUUAGCUAGUUGGCGGGGUAAAGGCCCACCAAGGCGACGAUCCGUAGCUGGUCUGAGAGGAUGAUCAGACACACUGGAACAGAGGCACGGUCCAGACUCCUACGGGAGGCAGCAGUGGGGAAUAUUGGACAAUGGGCGCAAGCCUGAUCCAGCCAUACCGCGUGGGUGAAGAAGGCCUUCGAGUUGUAGAGCCCUUUUGUUGGGAAAGAAAAGCAGCAGGUUAAUACCCCGCUGUUCUGACGGUACCCAAAGAAUAAGCACCGGCUAACUUCGUG
rnacentral:rRNA from 1 species